rnacentral:rRNA from 1 species
UACAGAGGGUGCAAGCGUUGUUCGGAAUUACUGGGCGUAAAGCGCACGUAGGCGGCUUUCUAAGUCGGGGGUGAAAUCCUGGAGCUCAACUCCAGAACUGCCUUCGAUACUGGAGAGCUUGAGUCCGGGAGUGGUGAGUGGAACUGCGAGUGUAGAGGUGAAAUUCGUAGAUAUUCGCAAGAACACCAGUGGCGAAGGCGGCUCACUGGCCCGGUACUGACGCUGAGGUGCGAAAGCGUGGGGAGCAAACAGG